GGAGAAAGCAGAGCACAUGAACAGAAGAGGAAAGUAGAGGAGAGUAGAGAGUAAGUAAAAAAACAACAAAAUAGAAACACAAGAACAGAGAGGAAGAGACUGAGAGGAGGAGGAAGAAAGAAUACUCUAGGAGUGCUUGAACUGUUGUUGUCACCUGCGCCUUCGAAUUGCCAAGUAAGGCUUUCCUGUUAUCUUCAUUUCUGCGCGUUUUAAUUUAAGAGAAGAAAACAAGAUGAAGGUAAUUU